rnacentral:rRNA from 1 species
AGGUCAGCGGCGGACGGGUGAGUAACACGUGGGUAACCUGCCUAUAAGACUGGGAUAACUCCGGGAAACCGGGGCUAAUACCGGAUAACAUCAAAAGCUGCAUGGCUUUUGGUUGAAAGGCGGCUUCGGCUGUCACUUAUAGAUGGACCCGCGGCGCAUUAGCUAGUUGGUGGGGUAACGGCUCACCAAGGCCACGAUGCGUAGCCGACCUGAGAGGGUGAUCGGCCACACUGGGACUGAGACACGGCCCAGACUCCUACGGGAGGCAGCAGUAGGGAAUCUUCCGCAAUGGACGAAAGUCUGACGGAGCAACGCCGCGUGAGUGAAGAAGGUUUUCGGAUCGUAAAACUCUGUUGUCAGGGAAGAACAAGUAUCGGAGUAACUGCCGGUACCUUGACGGUACCUGACCAGAAAGCCACGGCUAACUACGUGCCAGCAGCCGCGGUAAUACGUAGGUGGCAAGCGUUGUCCGGAAUUAUUGGGCGUAAAGCGCGCGCAGGCGGCCUUUUAAGUCUGAUGUGAAAGCCCCCGGCUCAACCGGGGAGGGUCAUUGGAAACUGGAAGGCUUGAGUGCAGAAGAGAAGAGCGGAAUUCCACGUGUAGCGGUGAAAUGCGUAGAGAUGUGGAGGAACACCAGUGGCGAAGGCGGCUCUUUGGUCUGUAACUGACGCUGAGGCGCGAAAGCGUGGGGAGCGAACAGGAUUAGAUACCCUGGUAGUCCACGCCGUAAACGAUGAGUGCUAAGUGUUGGGGGGUUUCCGCCCCUCAGUGCUGCAGCUAACGCAUAAGCA